ACAGUUGGCUUCAUAUAAUGAUAAUAAUCGAAGACAACAUAUUUAUCGAAGGCAAAUCAUAAAUCGAAGGCAACAUAUUGAUCCAAGACAACUCAAACAAAAUAGAUCGUAACAUAAUAAUCAAAGGUAACAAAAUCAUGAACCGAGCACUACCAAUUCUCAUGCAACAAUUAUUGGGUCCAAAUAUAAGGGCAACAGUACCAGAGAAUCAUGAACUUUGAAAGACAAUAAUAAUUUCUCAGGCAACAAUCUGAUGUAAUUCAUGUAUCAAAAGAUCCAAAGAAUCAAGACAGAGAGAAUCCAAUCUUCAAAAAAGGUACUUCAACCCCAAUAAAAAAGGGAGCACCAAUCUUCAAAACUGGUACUUCAACCCCAGAAAAAAAGGGAGCAUAACAUUCAUAUAGAUUCAAGCAAAGACAAACCAUAAAUUCACAAACGGUUAAAUACCAAAUGCAGUUUCAAACUAAACUUGCAGAAUGGCACCGUUCAAUUCAUGGGACAUGGCAACAUAUCCGGAAAUAGAGGCAUCAAGGCCACCAUGGUCUAACUGGUUUGCAAAAAAUGAAAUAAACGACACAAACAGGUUGGACACUAUCAAAUGGUAACCCAUUUAUGCGAGAUAACUGAAACAAGAGGCAACAAGCUCUCACUCUCUUUUUUAAGGCAACAAUAUUAUCUCCGAGGCAACAAGAUAAAUCAAAAUGCAAGGCAACAUAUAUUAAUCUUUGGCAGAAUAAUGAAGUUUGAAAGGCAACAAAAAAACUCUAUCCGAGCUCACUGCAUUAGAAUUUGCGAGCUCAAAUGACAAAUACUCAGGUCAGAUCAACAAUCUCAGAGGCAACAAUAAUCUCUCUUUCCAACAAUCUCUCUUAAUACCCUUUUUUUUAGGGAUCGAAUGUUACUUUUUAAUAGUAAGAGCAUAAACUUCAAGGCAACAAUAAUCUCUCAGGUAGCAGAAUUAUGAACUGGGCAUCACCAAUUAAUCGAAGGCAACAUAUCACUUGAAGGCAACUCGUUGAAUUGAAGGGGACACAUAAAUCAAAGGCAACAUGAUAUUAAUCGAAAGCAACCCAUAAAUCAUAUCCAAGGCAACUGAAAUAGAAUAUAAGGUAACAUAAUAAUCGAAGGCAACAAAAUCAUGAACCGGGCACCACCAAUUCUCAUGCAACAAUUAUUGGGUCAAAAUAUCGGGGACAACACCAAAGAAUCAAGGCAGAAUCAUGAAAUUUGAAACGGAACAAUAAAAUCUAAGGCAACAGAAUCAUAACUGGGUACCCCCAAUCUCAUGAAACAAUCUGAUGUAAUUCUUGGGUCAAAAGAUCUAAAGAAUCAAGGCAGAGUGAAUCCAAUCUUGAAAACUGGUACUUCAACCCCAAUAAAAGAGGGAGCACCAAUCUUCAAAACUGGUACUUCAACCCCAGAAAAAGAGGGAGCACCAGUUUGAUUGUAACAUUCUUAUAGAUUCAAGCAAAGACAAACCAGAAAUUCAUAAACGGUCGACAGGGCAAUAUAUGGCCACCAUGGUCUGAGUAGUUUGCAGAAAAUGAAAUAAACGGCACAAACAAGUUAGACCCUAUCAAAUGGUAACCCAUUUAUGCGAGAUUAUUGAAACAAGAGGCAGCAAGCUCUCGCUCUCUUUUUAAGGCAACAGUAUCAUCUCCGAGGCAACAAGAUAAAUCAAAAUCCAAGGCAACAUAUAUUAAUCUUGUGCAGAAUAAUGAAGUUUGAAAGGCAAAGAUAUAAUUCUAUCCGAGCUCACUGCAUUAGAAUUUGCGAGCUCAAAUGACAAAUACUCAGGUCAUUAGAGGCAACAAUAAUAUCUCUUUCCAACACACUCUCUUAAUACCCUUUUUUCUUAGGGAUCAAAUGUUACUUUCUAAUAGUAAGAGCAUAAACUUCAAGGCAACAAAUAAGAGCAGAAUUAUGAACUGGGCAUCACCAAUUAAUCGAAGGCAACAUAUUACUUUAAGGCAACUCGUUGAAUUGAAGGCGACACAUAAAUCAAAGGCAACAUGAUAUUAAUCAAAAGCAACCAUAGAUCAUAUUGAUCCAAGGCAACUGAAAUAGAAUAGAAGGUAACAUAAUAAUCAAAGGCAACAAAAUCAUGAACCGGGCACCACCAAUUCUCAUGCAACAAUUAUUGGGUCAAAAUAUCAGGGGCAACACCAAAGAAUCAAGGCAGAUUCAUGAAAUUUGAAAGGGAAGAAUAAUAUCUAAGGCAACAGAAUCAUAACUGGGUACCCACAAUCUCAGGAAACAAUCUGAUGUAAUUCUUGGGUCAAAAGAUCUAAAGAAUCAAGGCAGAGUGAAUCCAAUCUUGAAAACUGGUACUUAUACCCCCAUAAAAGAGGGAGCACCAAUCUUCAACACUGGUACUUCAACCUCAGGAAAAGAGGGAGCACCAGUUUGAUUGUAACAUUCAUAUAGAUUCAAGCAAAGACAAACAGCAAAUUCAUGAAUGGUUUUAUACCAAAAACAGUUUCAAACUUGCAGAACGGCACCGUUCAAUUAUUGGGACAGCGCAAUAUAUCCGGAAAUAGGGGCUGCUUCAUGGCCACCAUGGUCUGACUGGUUUGCAGAAAAUGAAAUAAACAGCACAAACAGGUUAGACCCUAUCAAAUGGUAACCCAUUUAUGCGAGAUAACUGAAACAAGAGGCAGCAAGCUCUCGCUCUCUUUUUAAGGCAACAAUAUUAUCUCCGAGGCAACAAGAUAAAUCAAAAUCCAAGGCAACAUAUAUUAAUCUUGUGCAGAAUAAUGAAGUUUGAAAGGAACAAAAUAACUCUAACUCUAUCCGAGCUCACUGCAUUAGAAUUUGCAAGCUCAAAUAACCACACUCAGGUCAGAUUCGCGAAUCAAGAACUUUGAAAGGCAACAAUCUCAAAGGCAACAAUCUUAGAGGCAACAAUAAUCUCUCUUUCCAACAAUCUCUCAAUACCCUUUUUUUCGGGAUAAAAGGUUACUUUCUAUGGUAACAAUAUAAACUUGAAGGCAACAAUAGUCUCAGGCAGCAGAAACAUGAACCGAGGAUCACCAACUAAUCGAAGGCAACUCAUAAACCGAAGGCAACAUAUUGAUUCAAGGCAACUGAAAUAGAAUAGAUGGUAACAUAAUAAUCGAAGGCAACAAAAUCAUGAACCGGGCACCACCAAUUCUCAUGCAACAAUUUUUCGGUCAAUAUGCAACACCAGAGAAUCAAGGCAGAAUCAUGAACUUUGAAAGGCAAAAAUAAAAUCUCACGCAACAGAAUCAUGAACUGGGUACCCCCAAUCUCAUGAAACAAUCUGAUGUAAUUCUUGGGUCAAAAGAUCUAAAGAAUCAAGGCAGAGUGAAUCCAAUCUUGAAAACUGGUACUUCAACCCCUAUAAAAGAGGGAGCACCAAUCUUCAAAACUGGUACUUCAACCCCAGAAAAAGAGGGAGCACCAGUUUGAUUGUAACAUUCUUAUAGAUUCAAGCAAAGACAAACCAGAAAUUCUACCAAAUGCAGUUUCAAACUUGCAGAACCACACCGUUUAAUUCAUGGGACAGGGCAAUAUAUAUGUAAAUAAGGGCAUCAUUGCCACCAUGGUCUGACUGGUUUGCACAAACAGGUUAGACCCAAUCAAAUGGUAAACUGAAACAAGACAGGCAGCAAGCUCUCGCUCUCUUUUUAAGGCAACAGUAUUAUCUCCGAGGCAACAAGAUAAAUCAAAAUCCAAGGCAACAUAUAUUAAUCUUGUGCAGAAUAAUGAAGUUUGAAAGGCAACAAAAUAACCCAGAGAAUCAUAACCGGGUACCCCUAAUCUCAGGCAACAAUCUGAUGUAAUUCUUGGGUCAAUAGAUCCAAAGAAUCAAGGCAGAGGCUUGAAAACUGGUACUUCAACCCCUAUAAAAGAGGGAGCACCAAGAUUCAAAACUGGUACUUCAACCCUGGGAAUAUGGGCAUCAAGGCCACCAUUCUAUCAAAUAAAUACCAAUCUUUUUGAUGGCAACGGGCAACAUAUUAAUACGGGCAUCUACGGCAACAACAUAUUAAACCCUAUCAAAUAAAUGGCGAACCAAUUAUCUCUCUAUUUUCAAGGCAACAAUUGGGCAAUCAAAUGCAAUGCAAUAUACAGAGAGAAAAGAGAGAUUGAGAGCCGCAAUUAUUUGAUUGAAAACCCAAAUUCAGAAGCAACAGAGAGAGAGAGAGAACCACUUCUUACAUGAAAUUAAGCGACGAGAGACGAUCCCAGCGACUUACCGAUCCAAGAAACGGGCUUUACUGGCAAUGGAAUCGAAUGGAAUUAGGUCACUCUCUCUCUCUCUCUCUCUCUCUACCAAAGUUUGUUUCAAAUCUGAAUAAAAAGCUAGCCUAGGUCGGCAGAAGUAGUAACCCUUUUUUCCUUUUUCUUUUCUUUAUCAAUUUUUUUUCUUUUUCUUUUCUUUAUCAAAUAUUAUUUGUUUUAAUUGCUAAGAAAUAAUCGUCCACCAAAAUCAAACAAAUGCAGAGAAGUCCAUAGGUUACUUAAAUUUUAUUUUAAAGAUAAUCAUCAUAUUCUUUCACAAUAACAUACAGAAAUUAAUGAGACAAAAAUAAAUAAAAAAUUAACGUACAAUACCAUGAUAACUCUAACUCUGACUAGCCAUUUUGACAUACCCUAUAAACGCACACUCAUGUAACAAACUAAACCAUGAAUCUAUAUCAUACAUUAUAUGCUACUAUUUGGGUCACGAUCAACACAUACAUUAUAUGCUAUUGUUUGGGUCACGAUCAACACCCUUAUGCAUGUACCCAUCAAGAUGUACCAUAUCUCAAACACGAUUAAACAUAGUGUGAUAGAUUGUUUUUUUGUUUCUAUUAUCUUUCUUUUCAAAGAUCUAAAGAGUAAUUUAAAUAUUUGAUAUCAACUUUAAAUGUUCCAUCUAUGUACGCAUAUGCAAAUGUGAAUACCACUAGUAGAAAUAUUUGUUCUUUCCAACUGUGUUACCAUUAGUUGAAAUGUUGAAUUCAAAUGUGUUUAGGUCUAAACGUGACGCAUGAAAAUGACAAAAUUGACUUCACAGGUUGCUUUUUAUAAUGAUUCGUGUAAAUUGUCCCUUCUAAAAGAGUGAGUAUUAUCAUUCUUUGGAGAAACCAACCAAAUUAGAUCUAAAGGUUACUAAGUGGUGGUUCAAAUCUCAAUUUCUACAGAGAAAUAGAAAUGAAAGAAAAAAGGUUUCUUGAUUCAAAGCAUAACGUCUUUAUACACAGUUGCCCAUCGGACAUACAAAGCACAAGAAUUGCGUCUUGAUGGAUACAAUAUAUGCAAUAAACAAUGAAUACAACAUAUCAAACUGAACUAUUCUAAUUACUAAUAAUGUAACUAUGUACUUGCAACCUUGCGCAAUUUUGAGCCACAUUCCCGAUAUUCAUGAUACCUUGGCAUUGCUCGUCGAUAACAUAUCUUUGCAACGCCAGUAAUUCCCAAGAAUAGAGUUCAGAAUAAUCUGUAACAAAAAUUGUCAGUUAGAAAUUAAGAAAUAAGAAAACAAGACAUAGAUUUCAAAGUGGUGUUCCAUUCUGGAAUGAACUGUAUAUAUCUUUAUGUAUAUAUACACACACACAAACUUUCUUGGCUAAGAAUGUCCGUAUUUAUUCUUACUAUGUAGAUUUCCACUUUAUACAAACUUUUCGUUUGAAUUUUCACAUCUCCACCGUCGAGUCUUUAGGUACUAACGUAUUUAGUCUUUAGGAGUAGAACUGAAAAGCAUGAUAAUUGUUAACUUUAAGGCUGAUCAAUACAAUUAAAUUGAAUGAGUGAUGGAAAAUAAGUUGAUAUCAAAACAUGAAACUAGUGAUACAAUAAAGAAGCAAUAAACUUAGACCGAAUAUCGUACAUUCCCAUUCCAAUGGCCCCAUAAAAACUGCAGGCUUAACCAUCAACAACAGUGACCUUGACAGGCUAACUUGUAUCCAUGACACCUGAAUAAUCAUCAAGAUAAAAUUUAAAACAUAUGUUCUUCAAAAUUGGAAAAAGAAGAAAAAUAAAAACAACAUCAACAAUAAUGAUCGCCUAAAUAAACCAUAAGACGAUACACAUCCUACGACAUUCAAAAUCCACAAGAGAACAAAACUACCCAAAAAAAAUAAAAAUAACCAAGAAACAACUUGUCUCUCAAGCAUAGAUUAAAUCCUCAAGGAAAAUGUUCUCAAAUGAUCGAGGGAGUGACAUGCUCUCUUGGAUCAGGAGCAAAAACGUUUAGGACAAGACAUCCAUCAGUAUCCUCCAUAAUAUCUCGUCUUUUUCAGCAUUCCAAAGCUUCAUAGUUAAAGAGUUCACCAAGAUGUCGUUACCUUUUUCACAAUUCCUAUGCUGCUAAGUUACUAGUUGUCUUUUCUCAUUUAUUUGUUACAUUUCGUUUAAAAAAAAUGACGGGGUGAUUUAUUUAGCCCUUAAAAUAUUUUGUAAUAAGAGACUUUCUAAGACUUAACUCAAAAUAUUACAAAAUAUUUUAAGGUAUUUAAAGAAAAAAAAACAGCAAAAUAUUCGUGUAAUGCAUCAAAUCGAAGUAUUAAACGCCUUCUGUAAAUUCUUUCUUAUGUUCAUCAUCUUUCUUUCCUCCAGUACUAAUUCUCUUCUCAUAUAUAUAUAUAUAUAUAUAUAUUAUUUUUUUUUUCAUAAAUGACCUAAGGCAGUUUUUCUUUUUGGCGAUUGACCUAAUGUAGUCUUUAAAGAUCCAAUUUACGGAGAUCUACUUCCAUAGUAGAAGUCUUUCAAUCAUGUUAGAUGUACUGCAAAAGCAAGUUAGGUAAGAAAAGUUGCAAACAUGAUUUCUGAAAGAUAAAGACUUUCAGUAACAUUUUCCUCCCUCCAUACAGAGAGUACAGCAACAGAAAUUUACCAAAUCCCUAGCCAAUCGAUUAUAUCAUCCAAAUCUAUUAACCAAGAUCCCAAUCCAAUCAUCAUCAUUGAGCACUACGGAUAUCAUCCCCACCAAAACUUCUCCGACCAUGAAAUUCAAAGGAACCCAUUAAUAAUGAUCUUCCCCAUCUCCCAGAAUUUGGGUUUGGGUCUUUCAGGAAUAUCAAAGCCAAUCCAGAUUUCAGGGCAGGCUCUUCCCUGUAGGGCAUUCUCUUCCACCGCGCAGUCGAGGACUUAAUCAACCACAUGAAAUUGAGAUUAGAGAGACAAGGCUUUAACCCUUUUGGUGAAAUCCAGUAAACCCAGUCGAUAUUAGAGAGAAGGGCAGAAGAUUUUGUGGGUUUUUGAAAUGGGGAAAAUGUUGGAAUCUUUGAGAUCAAUGAGAGGAACAAACAAAGAUUCGACCAAAACGAAACAAAGCGAAGAUGAAUUUGAUCCUGGAUUUGCUGAAUUGUUGUUACUACCUUUUAUGAUGUGGGAAGAAAACGUCGGUGAAUUUCAAGUCUCUUAGAAAUUGGAUGCUAUGAAAGAGCUUUUGCACAAGAUCUCCAGGUAUUUCCUUUGAUCAAUUAACAUGUUGCACCUGGGUUCGUGAGGCUCUUUAAUGAAUUAUUAUAAAAUAAAAAAUAUAUAUAUUUUCUCAUUGUUUCAUUUUAACUCUAACUCUGUUAAGCAGUUAAAUAGGAUGAUGUGACAGAACACAUAUCAGUAUUUUAAUGGCUCACAGGGAUAGGGAUAGAAAAAAAUUUACAAUAACCUACAGAGAUUAAUGAGACAAAAAUAAAUAAAAAAUUAACAUACAAUACUAUGAUAACUCUAAUUCUGAUUAGUCAUUUCGACAUACCUUAUAAGCGCACACUCAUGUAACAAACUAAACGAUGAAUCCAUAUCGAACAUUAACUGCUAUUGUUUGCGUCACGAUCAACACCCCUAUGGAUGUAACCAUUAAGAUGUUCCAUAUCUCAAACACGAUUAAACACAGUGUGAUAGGUUGUUUUUUGUUUUUAUUAUCGUUAUUUUCAAUGAUCUAAAGAGUAAUUUAAAUAUUUGAUACCAACUUAAAAUGUUCCAUCUGUAUACGCAUAUGCAAAUGUGAAUACCACCAGUAGUCAUAUUCGUUCUUUUCAACUGUUCUACCACUAGUUGAAAUGUUGAAUUUCAAACGUGUUUACGUCUAAACAUGACGCAUGAAAAUGACAAAGUUGGCUUCAUAGGUUGCAGCCUUCAUAUAAUGAUUCGUGUAGACUGUCCCUUCUAAAAGAGUGAGUAUUAUAUUCUUUGGAGAAGCCAACCAAAUUAAAUCUAAAGGUUAUUAAGUCGUGGUUCAAAUCUCAAUUUCCAGAGAGAAAUAGAAUUGAAAAAAAAAGAAAAAGGGUUUCUUGUUUCAAAGCACCGGACAUAUACGUCCAUUGGAUACAAACAAUGAAUACAACAUAUCAAACUGAACUAUUCUAAUUACUAAUAAUGUAACUAUGUACAUGCGACCUUGUGCAGUUUUGAGCCACAUUCCCGAUAUUCAUGAUACCUUGGCAUUGUUCGUCGAUAACAGAUCUUUGCGACGCCAGUAAUUUACAAGAAUAGAGUCCAGAAUAAUCUGUAACAAUAAUUGUCAGUUAGAAAUUAAGAAAUAAGAAAACAAAGAUGACUGGAUGUACGAAAUACCUGAUUUAAAUGUGCUGCAACACAAGGAAGAACAAGUAAACCAGAUUCACCAAGUGCACCACCUAGUUGCUCAACCACAGCCACCAUUACAGGCAGAGUUUUCUGCCAAAAAAGCAUACUCAAGUAUUUUAUCAAAGAAAGCCCCCAAAAAGUUUUUGAAAUUGUCCGUUCAAGAGGUGGAGGGGAGAUGCAUUUCAUAACUGAUGAAAGAAACUAAAAUGUUGAAAAAUGUCUUUUGUCUUAUAGGUCAUACAUAUGGAAAAGUAACUAUCUCAAAAACACACUCACUCACCUGGCUUGCAACAAGGAGAACAGCAUUUGCAUUUUCCUUCUUCGAAAAUUCUGAUUGAUUACCACCAGAAACAGCUGCGAGGCUCUUAACAGCAACAGCAUUAAAGGCUAACAAGAGGAGAUGCAGAAGUCUGCAAUACAAGAUUAUAAUGUAAAUACAAGCUAAUCAAGUUGAGAUAAUCAAGUUAUGAUGACAGACAUUGUGAUUCGCCAUCCACAUACAUCAUUUCUUCUGCUUUUCUAAUGCAAAUGAGGUGUGGCACUUGGAACACCCUAAGCUAAGGAAUUUCAAAUAAAUCUACUCAUGUUGAGUGCACUUACGGAUUCACAAGGAUAUUGGACCCAAAUGCCACGGAACUCAGAAGAGCACAUGGUAAUAAUAGGGUUUCAUAUCAGUUGUACACUUACAGAAAAUUUUCACUGCCUAAGAAGUUUUCCGGGCAUGUCUGCUGUACCAGGGAAAUUAUUUUUGAUAGAAAGGACUGAAAUCUUCAAUUUUAAAUGUCUGAACGUUUAGAAAUGUUAAUUAAAUCUGUAAUCUGUGAAGUUAUAUUGCCACUCAUGUGAUUCAAGGAAAAGUGAUAAAGGAUAGAAAUUUUGUUAACCCUCCAGAGUUAGAUUACUUUAUGUUAAACAAUCUUCAAAGCCUGUAAAGGAUCCCUCACUUUAAACAUUUUGUAUGAUAAUAACUAAGAAUGGCUAGGAGUAAACUAAAAGUCCUAGAACUGAAAGGCAUGAAAAUUGUUAAUUUUAAGGCUGAUCAAUACAAUUAAACUGAAUGAGUGAUGGAAAUAAGUUGAUAUCAAAACAUGAAACUAGUGAUACAAUACAGAAGCAAUAAACUUAAGACUGAAUAUCAUACAUUCCCAUUCCAAUGGCCCCAAGAAAAACUGCAGGCUUAACCAUCAACAACAGUGACCUUGACCUGCUAACUUGCAUCCAUGGCACCUGAAUAAUCAUCAAAAUAAAGUUUAAAACAUAUGUUCUUCAAAACUGCUGCCUACAUAAACCAUUAAGACGAUACACAUCCUAAGACAUUAAAAAUCUUAAUUGUGCAAUGAUCUGUACACUGAAUAUUCAACAUCUUCGGUUUGAAGAUGCGGGAACACUGACAGGUUAAUUUACGUUUCUUUCAAUUAGGAUGCAUACCAACUACACAUGUCUUAGGUAUAACUAGCAAAUGUCAUAUCAUGGUUAAAGAGGCCAUUAAAUAGUGUGACAGUAAUCAAAACUAAUGAACAUAUAGCAAAAUUUGACAUGAGGGCAUUGUUCUUACUAAACUGAGGAGAAUUGCACUGAUCUUGGAAAGAUUUUUACGGUUCUGAUCAACAAAGUCCGCGACACCUACAAUGCACAUCACAAAAGACAGACCCUAAACAUAAGAUAAGUGUGACUAAAUAUAAAUUUUUGCAUUAACAUCACAAUUCAUACUGCUUACACAAGAAAAUUUGGUAUUUUCUAAACCUGAUGAAGCCUUCUCGAACACAUAUCCAAACAAGGAUUGGCUUAGAGCUAUUUAAUACAUAUUUGAAAUCUAUAGUACAGUUUUGUUUGCAAGCACGUUGUAUGUUUGAGUGCUUGACUAUAUAAACAGUUAGGUUUCUGACUGAUUCUUAACUUUCUAACACUCUUUAGAGAAGUGAAACCAUGCAAGAUUGCUUGUGCAAUCAAGUUAUUUCCUUUAAACGAAGAAGAAUGUUAAAUUGUAGGGUGCUAAAGAUGGGUUGAGUCCUGAGAUUUGGCAAAUUUAAAUUAUUCCAGAGGACUUUUCUGCCAUUUUAAACGAAAUUACUAACAGAAACUGAAUAUAUUAUUUAUUUAUUUAUUUGGCACCCAAAAAUCCCCAAACCAGCUUUGCUGCUGGGCUGGAAACCGGUGCCUCUUGCCGAACCCACUCUAGCAAAUAGCUAGAUUGUGGUACUGUGAAGAGGUUGGAAUCCCAGACCACAUGGGAGCAAAUCGUAGGCCGGACCAGUUCUACUAACCCAUUGUUGCUAACUACAGAUACUAUUUCCCAACCAUAAAGGAGGCCGAGUGUUGAAUCACUGUUUUGGAAUCAAAAAAAUAGUUAGAAUAUAAAUUUAGCAUCAAGUUAAAAUCAGGCCACUAUUUUUGAGAUCAACUUUUUGUGCUAUAUUCCUGUUAACAUAUGUCUAUAUAUAAGCAAGUUAUUUGUUAUGAGACUGUUAGUUUUUAUCUAUGGUGUCUCAGCUAUAGCACUGAAUAAUCAGCUCCAAUGAACUCCCAUGCUCUUUAUAAUUACCAAAAAAAAGUGUCAGUGUGCCAGUCUACCAACGAUAAAAAGAACAUGUAGUAGUAGAACUGAAAGAAAAGAAUGGAACAUACCUCUGAAAGAUUCUCGAAAAAUCUGUUGAAGAAAACCGAAAAGUUAAUAUGAAUUAUAAAACACAAAUAUAAGGUAGAUAAUUUCAUUAUUCUGUUUCUACAACAGAAGACCUAUGCACCACCAAUAUCUCACGGAAGGGCAUAAUAUCACAUUACACGCCUACUUACACGCCUACUAUAUGACAUGCAAAUUAACGAGAGGUGAGAUUGGAAAGAAUGCUAAAAACAAUAUAUGAUGGUAUCAGAAUUUUCUACCCCAUGACCCCACUUUCCUUGGUUUAAUACCCACUGGUGACCUGAUUACAGUGGCUAAUUUUCAAAUUCUAUGCAUAUACUCAGAUUUCUGCUUAUAUGAAUAUAAAUAAUGCUAAUUAAUUACUAAACUACAUGAUGUCGCAGUUGAUGUUUCGUUAAACUGAGGACAAUGCUAAAGUGACCAACUGAUGUUAGACAUAUGUUUAAAUGCAUAACAGCUGCUUUGUUAAGUUUUAAACGUGGCACACUAAAAUGUGGUAUUUUUGGAAUUAAUCCUCUGGUUUUUUAUUUUGUUCUUUCAGACAAUUUGAAAAUACUUUGUUAAUUCAGAAACAAACUGGAACUGGAACCCUCAGUGUUUCUUUUUCUCUACCACCGAUAUGGUAUGACGAGUAGGAUUAUGAGGCUUUUACCUUCCCCAAUAUUAGGGGUAUCAACAACGUGAGAACAAGACUUUUGAAUAGCUGCUUAGUUGGAACAGAUACACCAACUCCGUCAGCAAUGAAUUUUGAUAUAGAAAAUGGGACCUGAAAGAGAGAUGCAUCAUAUGCUUACAGAAUCACCAGAAACCUAAAUCCAGGGCAGCAAAACAACAUAUAUAUUCAAGUAUAAAAGUGCAACAACUGACAGAAACUAUGAAACUCACAAUCAAGAUUCCCAACAGAUUAGAGACGACUGUCAUUGCAAGAGCCAGAGCAGUAUUGGCCCCAGCUAACUGCAUUUGAAGUUGCAAACCUUUCGUUAAAACCCCAAUACUUGUAAAAACUGCGUGUAGACUAGUAGAAUAACAGAAGUCUUCAUAUACGAUUUUAGACAAAGGAAGCAUACCUGAGUAAGUGCCACUCCACUUGAUAACGUAGUUGGCAUACAGCAAAAUAUUGCAAGCCCUACAUAAGAGGAAUACCAUGUGAUUUUUCAAAUCUUCAGAAAGACCAGAUGACUGAUUAUCAUGAUUCUAUUAACAAGACAACAGACUAAAUUACUCUCGAGCCAAGCCAGAAUGUAGAAAGGAGUUAAAACCAUUGGAGCCUUUGAUCAAGCAACCCUGAAUGAAACUACUUUUCCAAUCUUUUCGUUGACUCGAAGACAUGAACAAAAGAGGACCAUGAGAAUAAUGCUCUAGAAGUCUUUCCCAAAAAAAAAGAAAAAAGUACACAUGCAAAACUUCCUAACUGAACGAAUAUAGCUAAGAAACUACAACUACAUGCAAUUUUUUAGAGCUUUCCUUCAUUCAAUAGACAAAUUGUGUCACAAAUAUUGAUCUUAAGUCUUUAACAUUAGACUAAAAUGUCUUGCCAUGGUCGGGAUAACAUGAUCCCAUAUAAAGGUAAACUGCAUAUUACAGUAUCUAAUAUGUCAUCACCUCCUCCCCUCAAUGGUCUUUAGCCACACAGAGUUUCCUCUAUUCUUUUCAAAUUUGAAUUAUUAAACUCUGAGACUAGAUUCAUGGAUUCCGAAAAGAAAAAGGAGACAAUGGUCCAAAAGACCGAAAACUCUGUAAGUUUACCUGAUGUACAGUAUUAUGUUACUGUCUAUAGGAAGUAUUCUUCUAUACACUAAUUUAGGUUCAGUAUGGUCAAGUAACUGAAAGGUAAAUCAAAGCUUUGUACCAUGCAUAAAUUGGUGGUGACGUAAUUUGUUGGAGCAUAAUCAUGGACCUUCCAUUACUACUCAUGACAAAAUGAAAUAGUAUAUGUUUAAACCAGUCUAAUUUAACAUUCUAAACCCAAGUCCUAACCAUUGUACACCAUUCUCUCAAAUUUCAACUAAUCCUCUCAAACUGCAAUAAAGAAACAACACUCAAACUUGACAGAGGAAUUUCUGGUUGGUUGAAAAGCAUUGCUUUGAUUUCUAUGCAUAGGCGGAUAGUCAUUUUGCAACAGUAGCUUGUGGGUAAGUUUCCCAACUGUUGAAGGGAAACUUGGAAGCCAAAAAAUUUGGAGAAAUUUACUCCUUCACUUAAUAUCUCAUGCAAAGUUAUGCCGCGGCCUCUUUACAUGGAAAGAAAAGUGACCUGUCCUAUGCUAGCUAGAGUAUAGUAAUUUAUUUGCAUUAACUUGAGCCACCAUCCAAAAAAUACAUGAUAAUAUUCCUAACACAAGUAGUUCACUCAAUUCUUGUCAUUUCUUUCUCCAAUGGUCAUUGUUCAAUUUACAUAUCAACCUAAGUCACACAGCAUCAUUCAGACUCUAACCAUAAAUUGCCAGCAUGAACAAGAAUGAUUUAAAGGAAAGAGAUAAUCCUAGCCCUAAAAGGAAUCCCUCGGAAGAAAUUAUUCUCUCUAACACGACUUUCUGACCUGCAAGACACUUAGAGACCAACUUUUCAAUAAUCAACAAAAGACUUUAAACCUCACAACAGUAUAAUAACUUGCCAUUAAAUAUGGACUUUUCAAUUUCUUUUCCACAAAAAACUGUUUGCCACUAAAAUUCAUAAUGAACUUCGAUAUAGAACAGGUCCAAAACCUCAUAGCAUGUCAUUCAGCAUUCUUCAUAUUAAUUACACACUAACAUUGGAAUAACAGUAUUGUCCUCCAACCAACUCUAUAUGUGAAAAUAAGUUCAGUUACCAAACCUCUAACAAAUUCUUGAGGUUGGAGCGGCAGUUGCAAUAUUACCCUCGAAAAAUAUGGAGUAAAUAAUAAGAUGGAGACCUGGAUUAAUAACAGUAGAUUUUAUGCACGAGUAAUGGAGAUCAUGUCAUAACAUAUUGGUCAGCAUAAAUGAAAUGUCCAUGUAAGUGGACCAAUAGAUUUCUGUGUAACAUUGAUCAAGGCACCAACAAUCUGGGUAACAGACUAGCCAGAUUCAAGUAAAUUUCACUUCAGGUGAUAUCCAAAAAUUGCAUAAUAAGAGAGAUGAAGGUAUCAGCUAUCAGCUAUGAGAUCUUGUUCCAAAGUAAAAGAACAGUAAAAGAAACCCCGCUAUUAGCUAUGAGAUCUUGUUCCAAAGUACUUUUGCCAGUUCAAGCUAUGCCAAGUUUAUAUAUCAAGGCAUAAAAGACUAUGCAUCUUAUUACAAAAAAAAUGAUCCAGGAAAUGAUGUCAAACCACAAUAUGCAGGAACAAAUAAAACAAAAGCAAUCAUGACUUUGCUGUUUCCCGAAAUAUAAAGGAACAACAGUAGGCGUGAUGUGUGUGAGCUGGUGUGCAACAAGUAAAAGACAUGAGACAUUGAGGUGGUCAUACAAGCCCGAAGAAUCCAACAGGCCAUGCGUCUGCAGCAGCAAUAAUUUCACCAGUGUGCAAGGUUAACCCUGUGCCAUCAAAUACAAACAAUCAUUAAGUGCGGGGGCGUAAAUUACAGAAUUAUAAGACAAACAUAAAAAGACUGUUACAACAACACUGAAAACAAUCGAACCUGAGAUGAUAAAAAUCCCAAAUGUGCUAAAUUUCGAGAGAGAAUAUGAAUCAGCAAGACAACCUAGGGUUGGAUUUGCAAAACCCAACGCCACGCCACCAACAAGAGCUGCACACAAACAUUUAGUCAUGCAAAUGCAAUCAAGUAAGAUAUGCAAACAUAGAGAGUCAUGAAAAUCACCUAUUGGGAGAAAAUUAUUGGCCGCGAAAUUGGACAAUGGUUUAGCCCAAUUCAAGCCCUCAAGCGAAUCGGAGGGCUUAUCCGCUUUGUUUCCAUUACCAUCUAUCUGAACCAGGCAAAGGCAUUCACAUUUCUACAAAAACCAAGUCCAAACAAUCAAAAGCAGAAAGGAAGUGAAGAGAGGACCUGGUGGCAGGCUCGGACGGAGGAGCGGGUUUCGAACCGGAAUGACGGAGGAGAAGGCGAGAGUCGGCGAGAGAAGGAGAGGAUUUUGGUGGGCGGAGGAGUGAGAUGUAGGGUUUGGAGGAUGAUUCCCGCCAUGCGCUCCACUCCCGGUAUCACUCUCUUCUUUUUCCAAAACUCAUUUUUCAACAAUGUUUUGGAACUGGGGGGUACAAUUGUCUAUUCCUAUAAGUUAUUUUGAUUUUUGAUGGGAAAAAUUGUAGUAUUUGUGUGUUUAGUACCGUAUAUACGAUCUCUUGUACAAUAAGAUUACGUAUUUUUGAUUUAAUACGUAAUCUUAUUGUAUCGUUUAACCCUAUGUAUAUGUUGAACGAAGCAAAGCAUAUGAUCAGCCCAGUGAGUAAUGUGAGAUAGUGGAUCGGCACCCUUAUACCACAACCGAGCGCCGUCUUCACCACUCAAGGCAGGCAACGCCGCUACGAUUGCUAACCAUGGCACCGCUACUGGCUUACGGUAUGAGUACCAUGUGCACCUUUUAGACCUCGUUUGGUUUGCGGAAAAAAAAGUAGUUACUUCCUCUCUCUCAUAGGAAAGAAAAGUGAACGAGAGAGUUUUUAUUCUGAUGUUUAGUAACGCAAGGAAAGUCGUUGAGAAAGUAAAAAAAAUAUAAUAAAAUAUUAUGAUGUGAGUAAUAAAUACAGGGAAACAAAGAAAAAAAAUGGUUCCAUUGGAUUUUAAAAGAAACCACUUUCCCUCGUAUUUUCCCUUCAAUCAAGAAAGUCUUUAGCUUUCCCAAAUGCAAGAAUUGAACAACUUUCCUAUCAUGGUACUUACUUUCCGUGAAACAAACAAGGUUAGUUCGUGAAACUAUCUAUCUUGCGCUUGUACGUCUCAAUCAAAAGAUAAUUCUCUUCAUGUUGUCUAUUAAUGAUUUGGAGAAUUUGGUCAAUGAGUUUGCAUUACAUGAGAAAUGUACGAGUUAGAAGGUUGUAGACUUUGAAGCAGAUUGUGCUUAAGUAUUUAUAUUCUAAAUUAAAGUAAUACGGCAUAGUUUUGCCAAAACUUUUAUUUUAUAGUUAAAUUUCAUAAAAUAAUAAGCUAAAUAAAAACGAGUUUCAUAAAGCUGUAACCUGCCCUACCAUUCAUGUCUCUAAAUGAUACCACACAUCCACACCACUUAAAAUAGAUGCAGUGACAACAGGUUUAUGUAAGCUGUACUCAUCCUAACCAAAUGUCAACUGUCAGAGUUCUGAACGAAGUUAAAGACAUAUCAGGACAGCACUACAAGCAAUUCCAUAGAGAUUCACAGCUUCCUAAUCAGGAGAAACAACCUCUGAUCAAGUUCAAAGUUCUUGAAUUGAGCGGAUUCCCCCUUCAGCAUCAUUAGAAGGCCACCAAAUGAAGCAUUUACCUCCCUGGAGACAAAAAACAAAAAAACAAAACCAAAUUUUCUGAUAAUCAUGUCUUUUUUCAUGAAAAUUUAAAUGGAGAAAAUGUUGUUUUAGGAUAUAUUGAACAAUUACAAGAAUUUGAUAUAAAUUUUUCCAGGUUGAUGUGAGCUUAUACCAUUUCUAAACAGCUAAUCUUAACCAAUUUCCCGCCGGUGGUGGGGGGAGACCCCUCUCCUAAAUAGCUAAUCUCCCCACCUCCUAAAUAGCUAAAGACUUUUUCAAAGGACCUCUCAUAAUCGUAACCAACUAUCCCACCCUCCCUUACCAUCUGGUAUAUAACCCAAUGCAUUAACUUUCCUGCUUUAGUGAACAAAUAAUGAAAGAUUCUGGAAAAAAGAAGAAGUAAUACAUACGCUUUAGGAUCACGUUUAGAGCCUUCUGAAAUUUUGUAAAGUUUCCCUUGCAUGACAUAUUCAUAUUCAUCAGCCAAUGUCUUGCGAUUUCCCUGACAAAGAAAUAUGAUUUUGUAAGCAACUGAACAAUGGAAACAGAUACAGCUGCAAGCUAAAGUCUUUUAAAGCAAGGAGGAGAUACUAUGUCAUUAAAGAAAACAGAGCAAUUGCAGUCAUCUUUGGUAAUCAUUGUCAAUUAUUAAAGAUGAUCAAAUACAGUACCAGCUACCAACUGAAAGUGCAAAAGUUAUGGUAUUGGCAAAAUGUGUAUUACAAUAUAACCAUAACAAAGCUGUGUGUAUCUGUGUAUACAUAAAAAAGCAUUCAGAUAUAUAACAUUUCUUUGAAGUUAGCUCCAACCUUUAACUCAAACCUUUGGGUUCUGGAAGCAGUCAUUGCUAUUUUCCUUUCUAUUAACCGACAUAAUACACCAUCCUCCUUAAAGCAAAAUUAUCCCCACACAUUUCCUACAGCUAAAACAUUGUCGAAGGAUGAAUUAUGUAACUCCAAAUAAAGAGAACACAAACAAGUUUUUCCCCUACCACCAAUCAAUUGGUUUGAAUUGUUAAAAUGUCUCCACAGUUGCAUCCAUCCAAAAGAACAGUAGUACAACCUUGAGAACACCAGAAGAUCAGCCGCAACAGAAGUCUACAACGAGACAAAAAAUACAUCUAUACACAUGGUAGCCUCAUGAAUAACAUCCACACACAUUUUACACCGUAAAUCAGCCGGUACUAAAUCACCAUACAGCCUCAUAUUUAAACUAAACAUACAUUGAAACAAAAGGUAUAAACCUCAAGCAAAGUAGCACAUAAUAAAUGAGAGUAACAAUUACCGGGGUGAAAUAGCCAGAGUCAGGGGUGCCAUCAAGAUUGAGGGUAGAGGUGAGAGCCAUGGAGAAUUUCUCGCCUUCUUUGAUGGGGUACACCUCGGAAUUCACGUCAAGGUGCAUGAACAUGUCGCAAGUCUCACUCUUUGCUUCAACUCGGGUUACUACCAACAGUUCGAGUUUGAGUGAAAACAAUUUUGAUGCAUAAAAUCGAAGAAAACAGAUGAUGAUGAUACCUUUAUCGAACUUUUUGCCAUCUGGGUUCAAUCGCAGGACCUCAAAUAUGUCCUCGAAAAGACGAUCCACCAUCCUGAGCGAUUGCUGUGAGCAACAGAGAAGAGAGAUUGAAGCUACUUUUAUGGGAGGCCCCAGAUGCGUAAACCCUUAACCCUUUUAUAAAUGCCUAUUUACAAUCAUGGUGGGGCUCUUAUCUUUGAAAUAUUACGGACAAAGUCCCUCUUCUUUACGAAUUUGUUAAUUAUUCGAGACCAGAACAAAUAUUAUUGCACUGUCUUCUUGAUUGACAUUCCUUAUAUUUCCUUUUCCUUUCUCUACUCGCAGUUCUUUAUUAGCUUAUAUGGAAAUGGAGUUGCAAGAUGAUAUUUAGAUGCAUUUUUCUGGUGUUCACUUUAAGACCUACAAUGUUGUUUUUUUUUGGGAUAUAACUUCAAGAACUACUUUUGGUUCUAUUGGCGUGAUGGUUUAUGGUGGAAACUGGAACCGUCAUCUUGGAGCAUUUUCCAUGGUCUCAAAAUUUUGCUUGUGACUUCCAAAUUACUAAUGUUGAAGUGGAAUGUGAUUCAGCAGCACUUGUGAACUUGAUUGAGAAUGGGGCUACUGAGUUCCACCUUUAGGAACUCCAGCAUUACUUCAUUGCAGCAUUAAGUCAUGGCAGUAUUAAUUCAUUGCAGCUCAAGCAUGUGCAGAGAGCAAAUAACAUAGCGAUAGAUCUGCCCGAAAGGGUCUGUCCUGACUCCUGACCUUACCCAUUUCGGAUUACACAACUGGACAACAACAAAACAAAAACAAAAAAACAAAACAAUAUACGCAUAUGAGUCAACACUACAAAAGAAAAUCCUGUGCCAUUGGAUCAUGGAAGUAUUUGUGUUUGGUGUCUUACCCUCAAUUCUGUACUGCAAACGUAUAACACUAUGAAAUCGAGAUUACUGGGGAUGAAUUACAACCACAGAGCAGGAGUUUUACAAAAGAAAAUGAAAAAAGAAAAUCAGAAUCGCAACUUUCCCGCAUCAGUUGCUUUUUAUACUUUAGCAAAGGGAUACUCCUUUCCCAACCGUAUACUUCUUUCCGUCACUAUGCAUUAGUUAUGUACCCUCACUACAAAAUCAAGGUCCUCUGCGCAAACCAGUUCCAGUCUGGAACUUCAAGUCUAGUUUUUCAUUUCAAUGGUCAGUGCUUUUCAUACUAGACUUUAGCUUAAGGACCGACUGCUAAAGCCAUAUGGGAAGCCAAUUUAGCGGGUACUUUGUUUGGCAUCACGGAUGUGGAACAUAAGCUGCAAGAUAAUUCAACUUCAGACCAACUAUAGCAUGGGCGAUAAUUCAACUUCAGACCAACUAUAGCAUGGGUGAAACACACAUACGGACCAUAGUUCUGAAUAACCACCCCCUCCCCCCCCAACCAAAACUCUACCCCAAUGGAUAUAACAAGCUCAUCAUCAC
rnacentral:lncRNA from 1 species